UACGUAGGGCGCAAGCGUUAUCCGGAAUUAUUUGGGCGUAAAGAGCUCGUAGGCGGUUUUGUCGCGUCUGCCGUGAAAGUCCGGGGCUCAACUCCGGAUCUGCGGUGGGUACGGGCAGACUAGAGUGAUGUAGGGGAGACUGGAAUCCUGGUGUAGGCGGUGAAAUGCGCAGAUAUCAGGAGGAACACCGAUGGCGAAGGCAGGUCUCUGGGCAUUAACUGACGCUGAGGAGCGAAAGCAUGGGGAGCGAACAGG
rnacentral:rRNA from 1 species